rnacentral:rRNA from 1 species
GGUUAAGCGACUAAGCGUACACGGUGGAUGCCCUGGCAGUCAGAGGCGAUGAAGGGCGUGCUAAUCUGCGAUAAGCGCCGGUAAGGUGAUAUGAACCGUUAUAACCGGCGAUACCCGAAUGGGGAAACCCAGUGUGAUUCGUCACACUAUCAUUAACUGAAUCCAUAGGUUAAUGAGGCGAACCGGGGGAACUGAAACAUCUAAGUACCCCGAGGAAAAGAAAUCAACCGAGAUUCCCCCAGUAGCGGCGAGCGAACGGGGAGGAGCCCAGAGCCUGAAUCAGCAUGUGUGUUAGUGGAAGCGUCUGGAAAGGCGCGCGAUACAGGGUGACAGCCCCGUACACAAAAGCGCAUGUGCUGUGAGCUCGAUGAGUAGGGCGGGACACGUGGUAUCCUGUCUGAAUAUGGGGGGACCAUCCUCCAAGGCUAAAUACUCCUGACUGACCGAUAGUGAACCAGUACCGUGAGGGAAAGGCGAAAAGAACCCCGGCGAGGGGAGUGAAAAAGAACCUGAAAUCGUGUACGUACAAGCAGUGGGAGCACAGGUUUACCUGUGUGACUGCGUACCUUUUGUAUAAUGGGUCAGCGACUUAUAUUCUGUAGCAAGGUUAACCGAAUAGGGGAGCCGGAGGGAAACCGAGUCUUAAUUGGGCGUUAAGUUGCAGGGUAUAGACCCGAAACCCGGUGAUCUAGCCAUGGGCAGGUUGAAGGUUGGGUAACACUAACUGGAGGACCGAACCGACUAAUGUUGAAAAAUUAGCGGAUGACCUGUGGCUGGGGGUGAAAGGCCAAUCAAACCGGGAGAUAGCUGGUUCUCCCCGAAAGCUAUUUAGGUAGCGCCUCGUGAAUUCAUCUCCGGGGGUAGAGCACUGUUUCGGCUAGGGGGCCAUCCCGGCUUACCAACCCGAUGCAAACUGCGAAUACCGGAGAAUGUUAUCACGGGAGACACACGGCGGGUGCUAACGUCCGUCGUGAAGAGGGAAACAACCCAGACCGCCAGCUAAGGUCCCAAAGUCAUGGUUAAGUGGGAAACGAUGUGGGAAGGCCCAGACAGCCAGGAUGUUGGCUUAGAAGCAGCCAUCAUUUAAAGAAAGCGUAAUAGCUCACUGGUCGAGUCGGCCUGCGCGGAAGAUGUAACGGGGCUAAACCAUGCACCGAAGCUGCGGCAGCGACGCUUAUGCGUUGUUGGGUAGGGGAGCGUUCUGUAAGCCUGUGAAGGUGGCCUGUGA